rnacentral:rRNA from 2 species
GUGGAUCCUGUGAACUGCAGGACACAUGAACACCGACAAGUUGAACGCAUAUUGCACAUCGUACACCAGUACGAUGUACACAUUUUUGAGUGCCUAUAUUUACCUAUUCAACUAUACGUGCGUGCGCGCGCGGGGUCCAGCGUUCGGGUGGGCAGGCGCACGGCCCAUAGCACGUAUGCGUAGUGACGUUUUCCCGCCCGGUGCGGUAAAACGUUGAAGAUAGUCAGCCGCGUCCCUCUCGCCACGGUGUGGACGGGGGUGAUGAAUACAUCCCCUAGGCCAGUCCAGUUGGCUAUGUUGUAUUCCAUCAGCGCGAGAUCGGCGUGUGUACCUACCUGUGCGCCCCCCAUCCCCAGUCCAUAAGUAAGUUAGUAGGCCCCAAAUAAUGGGUGACUACCCCCCAAAAUUAAGCAUGUCGACAC